rnacentral:rRNA from 1 species
GAUGAACGCUAGCGGCAGGCCUAAUACAUGCAAGUCGAGGGGUAGAAGAGGCUUGCUUCUUUGAGACCGGCGCACGGGUGCGAAACGCGUAUGCAACCUACCUUCAUCUGGGGGAUAGCCCGGAGAAAUCCGGAUUAAUACCGCAUAAAAUCACAGGAUGGCAUUAUCCAAUGAUCAAACAUUUAUGGGAUGGAGAUGGGCAUGCGUGUCAUUAGCUAGUUGGCGGGGUAACGGCCCACCAAGGCGACGAUGACUAGGGGAUCUGAGAGGAUGGCCCCCCACACUGGUACUGAGACACGGACCAGACUCCUACGGGAGGCAGCAGUAAGGAAUAUUGGUCAAUGGAGGCAACUCUGAACCAGCCAUGCCGCGUGCAGGAAGACUGCCCUAUGGGUUGUAAACUGCUUUUAUUCGGGAAUAAACCUUAUUACGUGUAAUAAGCUGAAUGUACCGAAGGAAUAAGGAUCGGCUAACUACGUGCCAGCCGCCGCAGUAA